rnacentral:rRNA from 1 species
GACGAACGCUGGCGGCGUGCUUAACACAUGCAAGUCGAACGGAAAGGCCCUGCUUGCAGGGUACUCGAGUGGCGAACGGGUGAGUAACACGUGGGUGAUCUGCCCUGCACUUCGGGAUAAGCUUGGGAAACUGGGUCUAAUACCGGAUAGGAGCCAUCUUUAGUGUGGUGGUUGGAAAGUUUUUUCGGUGUAGGAUGAGCUCGCGGCCUAUCAGCUUGUUGGUGGGGUAAUGGCCUACCAAGGCGGCGACGGGUAGCCGGCCUGAGAGGGUGUACGGCCAGAUUGGGACUGAGAUACGGCCCAGACUCCGACGGGAGGCAGCAGUGGGGAAUAUUGCACAAUGGGCGCAAGCCUGAUGCAGCGACGCCGCGUGGGGGAUGAAGGCCUUCGGGUUGUAAACUCCUUUCGCUAGGGACGAAGCUUUUUUGUGACGGUACCUAGAUAAGAAGCACCGGCUAACUACGUG